ACGAACGCUGGCGGCGUGCUUAACACAUGCAAGUCGUACGGUAAGGCCCUUUCGGGGGUCCACGCGUGGCGAACGGGUGAGUAACACGUGAGUAACCUGCCCACAACUUUGGGAUAACGCUAGGAAACUGGUGCUAAUACUGGAUAUGUGCUCCUGCUGCAUGGUGGGGGUUGGAAAGCUCCGGCGGUUGUGGAUGGACUCGCGGCCUAUCAGCUUGUUGGUGGGGUAGUGGCCUACCAAGGCGGCGACGGGUAGCCGGCCUGAGAGGGUGACCGGCCACAUUGGGACUGAGAUACGGCCCAGACUCCUACGGGAGGCAGCAGUGGGGAAUAUUGCACAAGGGGCGCAAGCCUGAUGCAGCAACGCCGCGUGCGGGAUGACGGCCUUCGGGUUGUAAACCGCGUUCAGCAGGGACGAAGCUUUUUGUGACGGUACCUGCAGAAGAAGCACCGGCUAACUACGUG
rnacentral:rRNA from 1 species